rnacentral:rRNA from 1 species
UACGAACCGUCCAAACGUUAUUCGGAAUUAUUGGGCUUAAAGGGUGCGUAGGCGGCGUGUUAAGUCGGGUGUGAAAUCCCAGAGCUCAACUCUGGAACUGCGCCCGAUACUGGCAUGCUUGAGGGAGACAGAGGUAAGCGGAACUGAUGGUGGAGCGGUGAAAUGCGUUGAUAUCAUCAGGAACACCAGUGGCGAAAGCG